GCCUACAUGCAGUUUUUUGUCAGGUCGACAGUCCAGUGAGUGAGUUAAAGAUAGCAGCACUAAAGGACGAGUAUGGCGAGUGGAGGCGAUUAGAUAAUG